rnacentral:rRNA from 1 species
UACGGAAGGCAGCAGUGGGGAAUAUUGCACAAUGGGCGCAAGCCUGAUGCAGCCAUGCCGCGUGUAUGAAGAAGGCCUUCGGGUUGUAAAGUACUUUCAGCGGGGAGGAAGGCGAUGCGGUUAAUAACCGCGUCGAUUGACGUUACCCGCAGAAGAAGCACCGGCUAACUCCGUGCCAGCAGCCGCGGUAAUACGGAGGGUGCAAGCGUUAAUCGGAAUUACUGGGCGUAAAGCGCACGCAGGCGGUCUGUUAAGUCAGAUGUGAAAUCCCCGGGCUUAACCUGGGAACUGCAUUUUGAACUGGCAGGCUUGAGUCUUGUAGAGGGGGUAGAAUUCCAGGUGUAGCGGUGAAUGCGUAGAGAUCUGGAGGAAUACCGGUGGCGAAGGCGGCCCCUGGGACAAAGCUGACGCUCAGGUGCGAAAGCGUGGGGAGCAAACAGGAUUAGAUACC